GACGCACGCUGGCGGCGUGCUUAACACAUGCAAGUCGACAUGAGUGGCGAACGGGUGAGUAAUACGUGGGUAACCUGCCCUCCUUUUUGGGAUAAGCCUUGGAAAAGGGGUCUAAUACCGGAUAAAGGGGGAUGGGCCCGCGGCCUAUCAGCUUGUUGGUGGGGUGAUGCCCUACCAAGGCGGUGACGGGUAGCCGGCCUGGGAGGUGUACAGGACAAAUUAGGACUGAGAUACGGCCCGGACUGCUACGGGAGGCAGCAGUGGUGGAUUGUUCGCAAUGGGCGGAAGCCUGAUGCAGGGACGCCGGGUGGGGGGUGUAGGCUUUGGGGUUGUAAACCUCUUUCGCUAUCGAACGGGUAGGUGGAGAAGAAGGGCCGGCUAACUACGUGCCAGCAGCCGCGGUAAUAC
rnacentral:rRNA from 1 species